AUUGAACGAUGGCGGAAGGCCUAACACAUGCAAGUCGAGCGGAGCGGCGGACGGGUGAGUGAUGCCUAGGAAUGUGCCUGGAAGUGGGGGAUAACGUCCGGAAACGGGCGCUAAUACCGCAUACUAUCAGAUGAGCCUAGGUAGGAUUAGCUAGUUGGUGGGGUAAAGGCCUACCAAGGAGAAGAGCCGUAACUGGUCUGAGAGGAUUAUCAGUCACACUGGAACUGAGACACGGUCCAGCCUCCUACGCGAGGCAGCAGUGGGGAAUAUUGGACAAUGGGCGAAAGCCUGAUCCAGCCAUGCCGCGUGUGUGAAGAAGGUCUUCGGAUUGUAAAGCACUUUAAGUUGGGAGGCGUUACCAACAGAAUAAGCACCGGCUAACUCCGUGCCAGCAGCCGCGGUAAUAC
rnacentral:rRNA from 1 species